UACCAAACUAAAGUAAUAAACAGUAAAUAAAGUAAUGGUACAUUAAUGUAGCUAUGAUAAUGAUCUAAUAAUGCCAUAAAAUAAAAUAACAUUCAUGGGAAACUUUCUUCUGCACACGUUCUUUUAUACUUUAAGUACAAGGAGCUUAAUUUUAAUUAACUGGGAUUUUAAAAAGUAUUAUAACUUGUAAUGUGAGUAAAUGAGUAUUUUUACAUUAGUUUUCUUAAGUAAAGCGUCUUUUGGGGCUUCUUGUGUGAGCAUUUUUUCUUUUAUCUUUCACUUAAGUCCAAAAUUUCACUUUGAUCAGUUUGAUAUGGUUUUUUUUUUUCUUUCACCACAAUAUUCAAUAAAGGUACAGUUCAUAGAAAUGAUACUUGUGUGGGACACCAUUUAAAUGUGCACACCUCUCUCUGUUCAUCUCUUUCUUUCAAAUAUCUCUCUUUCUUACUCCGCUUUCUCUCUCUCUCUCUCUCUCUCUCUCUCUCUCUCUCUCUCUCUCUCUCUCUCUCUCUCUCCCUAUCCUGAGGCCUACUUCACCCUCCCCUGCUGUCUCUCUCCUCACCCUCACUGUGUGUGUGCUGUCAAUAAUUGAUGAUCCUCACUGACUCAAAGGGUAACAGGUCCCGGAGAAAAUGUCUCACCCAUUUCUUUAUUUAUAUACAAGUCUGUGUUUAAGUUCAGCCAGUCUGAGAAACCACCACCAGCGUUUAUUCGAGCACGAGAAUCAAUGGGUGUGAAGCCUGACUGUGUCCGUUUUGUAGUUUGUUGCAUCCGCUGCACCUGUGACCAUGAGUGGGUUAAUGCUGCCUGUCUGGGCUGACAGCAGGACAGAGGGAGGAAAGGGAAGCUUAAAUGAGUGAGAGGCAGGGGGCAGAGAGGAGGAGGAGUGACAGAAUGAAAGAGUGAAUUAAUUCAACCUUAGCCAGCCCUGAUUGAGUCGGUAGCAAACUGGCAUGUACAAACAUUCACAGUGACACCAAAGCCAUGGAGAGAGAAAAGAGGAAUGACAUGUCCUUCUCCAGAAAGAGAAGUUUCACUUUUGGCGCAUAUGGAAGUGUGGACAGAUUCACAUGUGGGGAUGAGACGAGACCUGAAUCUGCAGAGGACAACAUACUGGACAUCCUGGACUCUCCUGCCAGUGAGAGCAAGCCUUUCCUCCCUGCCAGCAGCAACCAGAGGGAAACAGAGCUGUUUGAAAUCAUUGAAAAGCUGCAGGGCAGCAGGAUCGAUGAGCAGCGGUGUGAAUUCCCCCUUCCUCUGAAGACUCAGCUUUUGACGAUAGGUGGAGACCUGCCGCUCAUCCUACCUUCAAAGUUGGGGGGCUACUGGAUAGACCCCCCUCUGGAGAGGCUCGUAGAUGUGAGUCCCACCUCUUCCCACUAUGGCCUUGAUCCAGAGAGCUUCGACAUCAUGGAGAGAGACGGAGAGGCCAAAAUCUACCACGAGUUCUUCCGCUCACGAUACCAUCACUCAUUCACAGCAGUGGAUCCAUCUUUGGGGCCUCUGGUUCUCUCUGUGUGUUUGGAGGAAGAGGAGAACAGGCUGCGAGUGAUACUAAGGAUGAAGGAGUGCUCUCUGCAUGGAGUUUUCUCUGUGUCUCUUUUCCCCAACAUCCCAUCCGCUGUUGAGUUAGCCAAGAUGCUCUGUGACAGAGUGACUGUCUCAAAGUUUGAAGUGGUCAGCUACCUCAAGGCCCCAGAACUCAUAACUGCAUUUGAUGAACACAGAGUGUCUCCUAAUUUCAAGUUUGGCAUUUUGUACCAAAAGGACAGGCAGUUCACGGAGGAGGACAUACUCAGUAACAAUGACGAAAGUGAGGAGUUUAAAGAGUUCCUUUCUAUUUUGGGAGAGACGAUUCAACUGCAAGGCUUUACCGGGUUCAGAGGAGGACUGGACGUGUGUCAUGGUCAGACGGGGAGUGAAGCAGUCUUCACUUCCUUUCAUGAGAGAGAAAUCAUGUUCCAUGUUGCAACUAAACUGCCUUUUACAGAGGGUGACCCACAGCAGUUACAAAGAAAAAGACACAUUGGUAAUGACAUUGUAGCUUUGGUCUACCAGGAGGGCCAAACCCCUUUUCUGUCUGAUGUAAUCAAGUCUCACUUCCUGCACUGUUUCCUGGUGGUCCGGAGGGUUCAGAGGGCGGAGGAGACAGGUGAAACUGCGUACCAGGUGUCUGUCACAGCCAGAGAGGAUGUUCCUCCAUUUGGUCCAGUCCUUCCGGAUCCUCCCAUCUUCACAGAGCGUUCCCUGCUGAGAGAAUUCCUUUUGACCAAACUCAUCAAUGCAGAGAUUUCCUGCUAUAAGGCUCAACAGUUCAGCAGACUAGAGAGAGCUUGCAGACUGAACUCUCCACCCGUUCCCAGUGCAUGAUGGGGGAACCUUCGCUGUCUGUGCUCCCAUCUUCUGAAGGUGUACGGGGGGCGUCUGAGGGGAGUGGAGGAUUCAUUGAAAAUUUUAAGAGAGCCAUACGAGUGCGGAGCCACUCUUUCGAGACUCUUGGGGUACCCAGGAAGAGUGGCAGCAGUGCAUCACAGAAACCUAAG